rnacentral:rRNA from 1 species
AUACGGAGGAUCCAGCGUUAUCCGGAUUUAUUGGGUUUAAAGGGUGCGUAGGUGGUUUGAUAAGUCAGCGGUGAAAGUUUGCAGCUUAACUGUAAAAAUGCCGUUGGAACUGUCGGACUUGAGUGUAAAUGAGGUAGGCGGAAUGCGUGGUGUAGCGGUGAAAUGCAUAGAUAUUAGGAGGAACACCAGUGGCGAAGGCGGCCUGCUGGGCUUUUACUGACGCUGAGGCUCGAAAGCAUGGGUAGC